ensembl:snoRNA
UGCUGGUGGUGAAGUUCCCACUCUCUGAGCACUGGGCUCUGCCGGGGGUGAGCG